GUGCUCGCUUUGGCAGCACAUCUACUGAAAACACUGGAGCGACACAGACAAGAUUAGCGUGGCCCCUGUUCAAGGGUGACAGGCAAACCUGUGAAACCUUCCAUACAAAA
ensembl:snRNA U6 U6 spliceosomal RNA